rnacentral:rRNA from 1 species
AGUGAACGCUGGCGGUAGGCCUAACACAUGCAAGUCGAACGGCAGCACAGUAAGAGCUUGCUCUUACGGGUGGCGAGUGGCGGACGGGUGAGGAAUACAUCGGAAUCUACUUUUUCGUGGGGGAUAACGUAGGGAAACUUACGCUAAUACCGCAUACGACCUACGGGUGAAAGCAGGGGAUCUUCGUACCUUGCGCGAUUGAAUGAGCCGAUGUCGGAUUAGCUAGUUGGCGGGGUAAAGGCCCACCAAGGCGACGAUCCGUAGCUGGUCUGAGAGGAUGAUCAGCCACACUGGAACUGAGACACGGUCCAGACUCCUGCGGGAGGCAGCAGUGGGGAAUAUUGGGCAAUGGGCGCAAGCCUGAUCCAGCCAUACCGCGUGGGUGAAGAAGGCCUUCGGGUUGUAAAGCCCUUUUGUUGGGAAAGAAAAGCAGCAGGUUAAUACCCCGCUGUUCUGACGGUACCCAAAGAAUAAGCACCGGCUAACUUCGUG